GGCAAAUUCCAAUAAGAGGUUAGAAUUAGUUACCUGCAGAAGAUUUGCAGAAAGAAAGGCACCCUGCAGUAAGAGGACUUGUUCUCUGCCUGCUUCUGCUCAGGUGCACGUGCUGUGGGGGUGCUGCUGAAGGAAGGACAUUAACAGAGUAGAAGGCAGUCCUGGUAAUCAGGCUCCCAAUAUGGCCAAAUUCAUUCUCACCGACCUUCACCAUUUUGUCUACUGGAUGAGACUGGCACUGCACAAGAAGAUGCAGCUGCUCUGGAACAAGGAGGAGCAGAGAGCCUAAAAACACAUUUCUAAGGGCAGACUUGAGUAUCCUUUCUUAAGGAAACACAUCUGUACUGUCUAUUCUUGCAAAUGCCAUGGAAUGGAUUUUGAGAGUUUCUCAGAUCUACACCCAUAAAUGGAUGUGGUAGAUCACAGCUCUUUGAGCAGUGAAUUUUAUGGGUGCUGUGCUGUCACAUUGGUCCUGAUUGAGCCCACUUUUCCCUGUCAUCUGUAAUGACUUUGAAAAACAUGGAACGAAAUCCUGGACAUGAAGAAAAUUGGAAAUGAUUUCAACAAAAAAAAAAUGCUUGUAAAUCUAAGUAGAAAACAAAGCCUUCCUUUCGAUGUGAGGAUCCAUACUAAAACUUGACUCACCAUGGUUUAGUACCCAGUAGCUCUUCUCAGUCAUGGAGUUAUAUAGCACUGUGGGGCCAUCAUUAGAUCAUCAUUGUUCUACAUGCAUCUAGUGAUCUCAUGCACUUUAGUUACUCACACCAUAUCGUGUAGGAGCUGAACACAGGCUGCACAAGAGCCUGGCUCACUCUGCCUCUUUACUGGCUGAAGCAGAUCCUGCUUGCAUGAGGGCCACACUUUUUCUUGGCUCCAUGAUGCAUUCACCCUGAGUCUCUUUCAUUAUCAUUCUAUGUUUCCUUUAUUUUUAAAUAAAUAAAAACAUCCAACAUGUCCUUUAUCUUUGCCUUUGCUUUGAUCUUCUGUUCUUGAACAUUAAACUAAACAUGGGCAUGUACUCAUGCAUUAAUUCCACCUAACUCAGCGAUGAGGUCUAGUAAUGUUUACAUUCAGAUAUAGCAGUGUUACCUUAUAAAUUUAAACUGUAAAUAAUUCAUAAUGGGCUGCAGAAGUGACUCAAUGGUUACGCGCACCUGCUGUUCCUCCAGGGCAUCAGCAUGAAAUUUUCUACAAUUACAUAGCACCUCACAGCCAAGUAGGCAUCUGAGAAGCCAUCUCUGGUCUCUGUAGGUAUUGCAUACAUAUGGCGGACAGACAAGUAAACAGGCAAAACAUCAAUUUACAUACAACAAAUAAAUUAAAUAAAAAAUAAAAACUUCAUUAUAAGUUUGCAUGCUUGC
ensembl:lincRNA A930001A20Rik RIKEN cDNA A930001A20 gene